rnacentral:lncRNA from 1 species
AAGUAAAAGCAAGAGAUGGAACAAAUAAGAGAAGUGAAAUAACAAGCAACUAAUGAUAUCAGAGCGAGUAAAGUUCUAACAUCUAUACUAAUAGUAAUAGAACAUAACUAAUGCGUAAAAGUAAACAUAAGUUAUACAGUAUCAGCCUCUAAUACAAAAAUGGUGGCCUCUAGUACACUGGUAAAACUCUCAACCUCUCCAAAAUAAAGUACAACGAGAGGUAGACCACCUAGCAAAUCGUCCUCGAAGGAAGCUAACUCGAAGCAACUCCCUUCCCGCGGUCCCUGGCCUCACCCUGAGUGGAAGGCUCUGAAAAACAUCGAGAAAAAGAGGGCGUGAGAACUAUAAUUUAUAGUUCCCAGUGGGCAAUUACUGACCUCAGCUCCUGCUCCACUAGGCCCCAAAAACAAGGGUAAGUACAAGAUAGUAUUAGCAAUAAAGAUAAUAGUAACACGGUAAGAAAGCAUAAAUGAAGUGCUAACCCAUAUGUCUCAAGUGAGCAUGAUGCUAUGUGAUGUACAUCUACGCUAUCACAAGGUAAUAUGUCCACUGCAUACUAAUAUGUCUCAACAAGUAAACCUCACGAUGCAAUACGUCAAUGCAUAAGGGUAAACUCUAUCCAUACAACCAAGUAUACUACGAUGCAGUAAUGAAGCCAGCAAGUAUACUAAAUGUACCAAUGCUAUGUCAUGAGCGUAUCCAAGUGAUCCAACUACUAAUCCUAUCUAGUAGUGACAGUCCAUAUACAACACCGUGUCGAUUUCCAUUUCCAGUUUAAGGACCUACUCAAGGUAGUCCAGCUUGCGCCGCCUAAGUGUCUGUGGUAGCCCGACAUCCCUACUCUUGGAAUGUGUCUGUCCCACUCGACCCCGUAGGCUUCUCAAUACCGCACGAGCGAACGUAGUCGCGUAGGCUAACUCCGGAGUGCCGGCUUGUAGGGAGCGACCCUCACAAGCAUGUGCGAAUGAGCACAAAUGGCAAACAAGCGCAGUCCAAGUCUCAAGUACCCAAUCCUCAUGUCUCUAACAUGGUAUAGUUACUAGCAUCCCAAAGAUCUAGUUUAAGUCACAAUGUGAAGUUUUAAUAUUCUCUAGGUCUAGUGCCCCUUUAUGACACUUAGACAUUUGAUGUUCAACAUGUAUUCCAAAUCCCUCAAUGGCCCUAUCCUCUAGGUUCCCACAUGUCCUGAGCUCAAUGCCGCUUGAUGACAUUAGCUCUCUAGUUCACAUACCUACUAAUGGCAAUUUUAUCAACUUUCAUGACACAAGUAAACUUAGGUUUAAAUGCAUGAAUCCGAACUCAUUUACACUAUAGUAGCAUGAAACCAAGUCUCAUGAAGAAUGCGAAAUGCAACUAUAGAUUCCCUCAAGCAACUCUCUAUUACAUAGAGGUCCAAAAUUUCAUCAUACAUAACAUAUGCAUUUUAAGCAUUCUAAAAAUCACAAUAAAUACAUUUAGUAUGAAUAUGCAUGCUUUUCCAUUUUACGGAACAUAUAAAACCAUAUAUGAGAAUUUCUCAUAUGUAGGCUAGGUCAAACCCACCGAACCGUCGCGUAGGGUCUCGUUUCGCCGAACAAAGUUGUCCCCGAGUCUCAAAAUACCCUAAAAGUAAUGAGCGACAAGAUACACGGGCAUUACGAUCAUCGCAUAAUAUCAAACUUUAACAAAUUUAGCAAAAGGGCUAAAACUCACCCAACGCGUGGAAAAACUCUCUCAAGCUCCAAAUGAGAGCUAAAUCCCUUCCAAUCCAAGCCCAAGGAAGGUUCUAAACCAAUCAAUCUAGCCUCAAAGGCCCUAGAUCAAAAAUGCCCAAAUAUGAGCCCUAAAACCACAUUCUAGGGUUUCAAAACAAUAAAACCUCAAAUCCAAGGUCUAGAUGGAGAGAAAGGGCUACCAACCUCUAAGAAGCGCCAAUCCAAGCUCAAAGGAUGAAGAUCUUCCCCUUUGCAAGCUCCAAGUCCAAGCCUUCAAGCACCAAGGAAGAUGAGAGGGUGAGGAAGAUGCUCCAAGUCCACUAGUAGCUCCAAAUCUUCUUCUUCUUCCCUCCUUCUCCUUCUUCUUCUCCUCCUUCUUCUCUCUCUAACAAGGGUAUGGAGGGAGUGUGAGGAGAGAAAUGAGAAAGAGAGAGGGUGGAGGGGUCAUAUAGACCCUCUAAUGUAACAAAAUCCAACCAGGCCCCUCAAAAAUCCAAAAUUGCAACAGCCCGGACUGGGCAGUUUUCGCCCAGAGGGACCGGUCUCUCCCCAGCAGGGACCGGUCUCUCGCUGCGAACCCGAAGAACCAGCGUUCGGGAACCGGUCUCUCCCUGCGCGGGACCGGUCUCUCACUGCGAAGACGCGUUCGGGGACCGGUCUCGCCUGCCAGGGACCGGUUGCCUCAGGCUGCCUCAACACUGCUCACUGGGGGACCGGUCU